rnacentral:rRNA from 1 species
AUUGAACGCUGGCGGCGUGCUUAACACAUGCAAGUCGAUCGGUAACGCGGGGGCAACCCUGGCGACGAGAGGCGGACGGGUGAGGAACGCUUGGGAAUCUGCCUAUCAGCGGGGGACAACCCGGGGAAACUCGGGCUAAUACCGCAUACGCUCUACGGAGGAAAGCCGGGGACCGCAAGGCCUGGCACUGAUAGAUGAGCCCAAGCCGGAUUAGCUAGUUGGCGGGGUAACGGCCCACCAAGGCGACGAUCCGUAGCUGGUCUGAGAGGACGAUCAGCCACACUGGGACUGAGACACGGCCCAGACUCCUACGGGAGGCAGCAGUGGGGAAUAUUGGACAAUGGGGGAAACCCUGAUCCAGCGACGCCGCGUGGGUGAAGAAGGCCUGCGGGUUGUAAAGCCCUUUCGGUAGGGACGAAAGCUCUCGACCUAACACGUCGGGAGGUUGACUUAACCUACAAAAGAAGCACCGGCUAACUCUGUGCCAGCAGCCGCAGUAACAC